rnacentral:rRNA from 1 species
AUACGGAGGGUGCGAGCGUUAAUCGGAAUUACUGGGCGUAAAGCGUGCGUAGGCGGUUUGCUAAGUCAGAUGUGAAAGCCCCGGGCUUAACCUGGGAACUGCAUUUGAUACUGGCAGACUAGAGUAUGAUAGAGGGGGGUAGAAUUCCUGGUGUAGCGGUGAAAUGCGUAGAUAUCAGGAGGAAUACCAGUGGCGAAGGCGGCCCCCUGGAUCGAUACUGACGCUGAGGUACGAAAGCGUGGGGAGCGAACAGGAUUAGAUACCCGAGUAGUCC